rnacentral:rRNA from 1 species
UACGAAGGGGGCUAGCGUUGCUCGGAAUCACUGGGCGUAAAGGGUGCGUAGGCGGAUUGCUAAGUCAGGGGUGAAAUCCUGGAGCUCAACUCCAGAACUGCCUUUGAUACUGAAGAUCUUGAGUUCGGGAGAGGUGAGUGGAACUGCGAGUGUAGAGGUGAAAUUCGUAGAUAUUCGCAAGAACACCAGUGGCGAAGGCGGCUCACUGGCCCGAUACUGACGCUGAGGCACGAAAGCGUGGGGAGCAAACAGG